AAGUUGUGGACAAUUGCAAAGUAAUCCCUUGUAACGUUCACAUGCUUCAUAUAAAUAUUCCCCAUUUAAUUGUUAGAGGUUUUGGAAUUUAUUCUUCAACUU